rnacentral:rRNA from 1 species
AAUCAAGUGCCUUAAGGGUGUUCGGUGGAUGCCUUGGCGCUGAGAGGCGAUGAUAGGUACGUGCUACGCUGCGA